UGCAGUCGNNNCUUCUUUUUCCNCCGGAGCUUGCUCCACCGGAAAAAGAGGAGUGGCGAACGGGUGAGUAACACGUGGGUAACCUGCCCAUCAGAAGGGGAUAACACUUGGAAACAGGUGCUAAUACCGUAUAACAAUCAAAACCGCAUGGUUUUGAUUUGAAAGGCGCUUUCGGGUGUCGCUGAUGGAUGGACCCGCGGUGCAUUAGCUAGUUGGUGAGGUAACGGCUCACCAAGGCCACGAUGCAUAGCCGACCUGAGAGGGUGAUCGGCCACAUUGGGACUGAGACACGGCCCAAACUCCUACGGGAGGCAGCAGUAGGGAAUCUUCGGCAAUGGACGAAAGUCUGACCGAGCAACGCCGCGUGAGUGAAGAAGGUUUUCGGAUCGUAAAACUCUGUUGUUAGAGAAGAACAAGGAUGAGAGUAACUGUUCAUCCCUUGACGGUAUCUAACCAGAAAGCCACGGCUAACUACGUGCCAGCAGCCGCGGUAAUACGUAGGUGGCAAGCGUUGUCCGGAUUUAUUGGGCGUAAAGCGAGCGCAGGCGGUUUCUUAAGUCUGAUGUGAAAGCCCCCGGCUCAACCGGGGAGGGUCAUUGGAAACUGGGAGACUUGAGUGCAGAAGAGGAGAGUGGAAUUCCAUGUGUAGCGGUGAAAUGCGUAGAUAUAUGGAGGAACACCAGUGGCGAANGCGGCUCUCUGGUCUGUAACUGACGCUGAGGCUCGAAAGCGUGGGGAGCAAACAGGAUUA
rnacentral:rRNA from 1 species